rnacentral:rRNA from 1 species
CUACGGGGGGCUCCAGUGGGGAAUAUUGGACAAUGGGCGCAAGCCUGAUCCAGCAAUGCCGCGUGAGUGAAGACGGCCUUAGGGUUGUAAAACUCUUUCGCUAGGGAAGAUAAUGACUGUACCUAGUAAAGAAGUCCCGGCUAACUCCGUGCCAGCAGCCGCGGUAAUAGAGAGGGUGCGAGCGUUAAUCGGAAUUACUGGGCGUAAAGCGCGCGUAGGCGGUUUGAUAAGUCAGAUGUGAAAGCCCCGGGCUUAACCUGGGAACUGCAUCUGAUACUGUCAAACUAGAGUAUGGUAGAGGGUAGUAGAAUUCCUGGUGUAGCGGUGAAAUGCGUAGAUAUCAGGAGGAAUACCAGUGGCGAAGGCGGCUACCUGGACCAAUACUGACGCUGAGGUGCGAAAGCGUGGGGAGCAAACAGGAUUAGAUACCCGCGUAGUC